rnacentral:rRNA from 1 species
CCUACGGGGGGCUGCAGUGGGGAAUAUUGGACAAUGGGGGCAACCCUUAUCCAGCCAUGCCGCGUGUGUGAAGAAGGCCCUCGGGUUGUAAAGCACUUUCAGUGAGGAAGAACGCCUGGUGGUUAAUACCCAUCAGGAAAGACAUCACUCACAGAAGAAGCACCGGCUAACUCCGUGCCAGCAGCCGCGGUAAUACGGAGGGUGCGAGCGUUAAUCGGAAUUACUGGGCGUAAAGCGCGCGUAGGUGGCUUGAUAAGCCGGUUGUGAAAGCCCCGGGCUCAACCUGGGAACGGCAUCCGGAACUGUCAAGCUAGAGUGCAGGAGAGGAAGGUAGAAUUCCCGGUGUAGCGGUGAAAUGCGUAGAGAUCGGGAGGAAUACCAGUGGCGAAGGCGGCCUUCUGGACUGACACUGACACUGAGGUGCGAAAGCGUGGGUAGCAAACAGGAUUAGAUACCCCUGUAGUC